rnacentral:rRNA from 2 species
AAGAGAUAAGUGCUGAAAGCAUCUAAGCACGAAACUUGCCCCGAGAUGAGUUCUCCCUGAGACUUUAAGUCUCCUGAAGGAACGUUAAAGACGAUGACGUUGAUAGGCCGGGUGUGUAAGCGCAGCGAUGCGUUGAGCUAACCGGUACUAAUGAACCGUGAGGCUUAACCUUACAACGCCGAAG